rnacentral:rRNA from 1 species
GCGACACACGUGCUACAAUGGCAUAUACAAUGAGACGCAAUACCGCGAGGUGGAGCAAAUCUAUAAAAUAUGUCCCAGUUCGGAUUGUUCUCUGCAACUCGAGAGCAUGAAGCCGGAAUCGCUAGUAAUCGCAAAUCAGCCAUGUUGCGGUGAAUACGUUCCCGGGUCUUGUACUCACCGCCCGUCACACCAUGGGAGUUGAUUUCACUCGAAGUGGAAAUACUAAACUAGUUAUCCCCCACAGUGGAAUCAGCGACUGGGGUGAAGUCGUAACAAGGUAACCGUAGGAGAACCUGCGGUUGGAUCACCUCCUUUCUA